AUAAGCAAACCACGCGUACCACUAAUUAUUUAUUCUUCUUCUUCGAAGCCGCCGCCCCUCAGCCCCAAAAGCAAAUAUGGUAAUCUUACCUUUCUUCUGCUUCCAUGUUACUUCAGUUCCUUCAAGAACAGAUACGAUGUUGCUCUGGCGUGUCCACUCAAAUUAAGCUUGCGUUGCCUCGAACGACGGUGUUAUUUCAGAGUUUGAGAAAUUUUGAAGGCAAUACGCCUUGAAAUUUUCCCUUUUGUUCUUCAUCAUCUACAAAAGAUCAUCUAUGUCCAAGUACAGUAGAAGAGAAACGGAAGAGAGAACUUCAUCCAUAAAAAGUGCCAUAUGUGAGUGAGGAUCAGUGUUUUGGUAUAUGCUUGUAUACGGUUAAAAUCGGGCUUGCAUAAUUUUGUAUGGCUAAUUAGAACCGGGGUGGCAGAACAAGGCUCGGCCCCGUGUUGUAUCGGAACAUGGCGCGGAGAAGGAUUGUUUAGCUCAUGAAUCGAUGACCGAUAAAGAUCGAGCCCAGCCUUGAUCGAGACCGAAGUGGGAUGGAGAUUGAGAGAGAUCAAAGGAAGCCUGCUAAUCGAAUAGCAGAAUAUCGAGAUAUCCGUGACCGAGCAAGGAUCGUGGCAAAAAUCUCGGCAGGUAUCAAGUCAAGACCAGUUAUUUAGUCAAUCAUGGGAUUUCCUUCUGUAUUUAGAAUUGUACCAUAAGCAAAAUUCUUUUACUAUAUAAAGGGGAUUCCAAUCAUUUUGCAUGCAUCA